rnacentral:snoRNA from 1 species
GCUGAGGUCUAUCCUGAUGGGUUCUCUCUAUAGACCACAUCGUGGGAAACACCUAACAGAGGAAAGUUGUGGUUUAGCUUUACUCACCGAACUGUUUGUUAGAUCUGUGAGAAAGAACUACAAGACAGAU